GAUGAAGAACGUAGCGAAAUGCGAUACGUAAUGUGAAUUGCAGAACUCAGUGAAUCAUCGAGUCUUUGAACGCACAUUGCGCCCCCUGGUAUUCCGGGGGGCAUGCCUGUCCGAGCGUCAUUGCUGCCCUCAAGCACGGCUUGUGUGUUGGGCCUCCGUCCUCCUCCCGGGGGACGGGCCCGAAAGGCAGCGGCGGCACCGCGUCCGGUCCUCGAGCGUAUGGGGCUUCGUCACCCGCUCUUGUAGGCCCGGCCGGCGCUUGCCGACACAUCAAUCUUUUUUCCAGGUUGACCUCGGAUCAGGUAGGGAUACCCGCUGAACUUAAGCAUAUCAAUAAGCGGAGGA
rnacentral:misc_RNA from 1 species